rnacentral:rRNA from 1 species
CAGUGUGAUUCGUCACACUAUCAUUAACUGAAUCCAUAGGUUAAUGAGGCGAACCGGGGGAACUGAAACAUCUAAGUACCCCGAGGAAAAGAAAUCAACCGAGAUUCCCCCAGUAGCGGCGAGCGAACGGGGAGCAGCCCAGAGCCUGAAUCAGUGUGUGUGUUAGUGGAAGCGUCUGGAAAGGCGUGCGAUACAGGGUGACAGCCCCGUACACAAAAAUGCACAUACUGUGAGCUCGAUGAGUAGGGCGGGACACGUGGUAUCCUGUCUGAAUAUGGGGGGACCAUCCUCCAAGGCUAAAUACUCCUGACUGACCGAUAGUGAACCAGUACCGUGAGGGAAAGGCGAAAAGAACCCCGGCGAGGGGAGUGAAAAAGAACCUGAAACCGUGUACGUACAAGCAGUGGGAGCACGCUUAGGCGUGUGACUGCGUACCUUUUGUAUAAUGGGUCAGCGACUUAUAUUCUGUAGCAAGGUUAACCGAAUAGGGGAGCCGAAGGGAAACCGAGUCUUAACUGGGCGUUAAGUUGCAGGGUAUAGACCCGAAACCCGGUGAUCUAGCCAUGGGCAGGUUGAAGGUUGGGUAACACUAACUGGAGGACCGAACCGACUAAUGUUGAAAAAUUAGCGGAUGACUUGUGGCUGGGGGUGAAAGGCCAAUCAAACCGGGAGAUAGCUGGUUCUCCCCGAAAGCUAUUUAGGUAGCGCCUCGUGAAUUCAUCUCCGGGGGUAGAGCACUGUUUCGGCAAGGGGGUCAUCCCGACUUACCAACCCGAUGCAAACUGCGAAUACCGGAGAAUGUUAUUACGGGAGACACACGGCGGGUGCUAACGUCCGUCGUGAAGAGGGAAACAACCCAGACCGCCAGCUAAGGUCCCAAAGUCAUGGUUAAGUGGGAAACGAUGUGGGAAGGCCCAGACAGCCAGGAUGUUGGCUUAGAAGCAGCCAUCAUUUAAAGAAAGCGUAAUAGCUCACUGGUCGAGUCGGCCUGCGCGGAAGAUGUAACGGGGCUAAACCAUGCACCGAAGCUGCGGCAGCGACGCUUAUGCGUUGUUGGGUAGGGGAGCGUUCUGUAAGCCUGUGAAGGUGUGCUGUGAGGUAUGCUGGAGGUAUCAGAAGUGCGAAUGCUGACAUAAGUAACGAUAAAGCGGGUGAAAAGCCCGCUCGCCGGAAGACCAAGGGUUCCUGUCCAACGUUAAUCGGGGCAGGGUGAGUCGACCCCUAAGGCGAGGCCGAAAGGCGUAGUCGAUGGGAAACAGGUUAAUAUUCCUGUACUUGGUGUUACUGCGAAGGGGGGACGGAGAAGGCUAUGUUGGCCGGGCGACGGUUGUCCCGGUUUAAGCGUGUAGGCUGGUUUUCCAGGCAAAUCCGGAAAAUCAAGGCCGAGGCGUGAUGACGAGGCACUACGGUGCUGAAGCAACAAAUGCCCUGCUUCCAGGAAAAGCCUCUAAGCAUCAGGUAACAUCAAAUCGUACCCCAAACCGACACAGGUGGUCAGGUAGAGAAUACCAAGGCGCUUGAGAGAACUCGGGUGAAGGAACUAGGCAAAAUGGUGCCGUAACUUCGGGAGAAGGCACGCUGAUACGUAGGUGAAGCGACUUGCUCGUGGAGCUGAAAUCAGUCGAAGAUACCAGCUGGCUGCAACUGUUUAUUAAAAACACAGCACUGUGCAAACACGAAAGUGGACGUAUACGGUGUGACGCCUGCCCGGUGCCGGAAGGUUAAUUGAUGGGGUUAGCGCAAGCGAAGCUCUUGAUCGAAGCCCCGGUAAACGGCGGCCGUAACUAUAACGGUCCUAAGGUAGCGAAAUUCCUUGUCGGGUAAGUUCCGACCUGCACGAAUGGCGUAAUGAUGGCCAGGCUGUCUCCACCCGAGACUCAGUGAAAUUGAACUCGCUGUGAAGAUGCAGUGUACCCGCGGCAAGACGGAAAGACCCCGUGAACCUUUACUAUAGCUUGACACUGAACAUUGAGCCUUGAUGUGUAGGAUAGGUGGGAGGCUUUGAAGUGUGGACGCCAGUCUGCAUGGAGCCGACCUUGAAAUACCACCCUUUAAUGUUUGAUGUUCUAACGUGGACCCGUGAUCCGGGUUGCGGACAGUGUCUGGUGGGUAGUUUGACUGGGGCGGUCUCCUCCUAAAGAGUAACGGAGGAGCACGAAGGUUGGCUAAUCCUGGUCGGACAUCAGGAGGUUAGUGCAAUGGCAUAAGCCAGCUUGACUGCGAGCGUGACGGCGCGAGCAGGUGCGAAAGCAGGUCAUAGUGAUCCGGUGGUUCUGAAUGGAAGGGCCAUCGCUCAACGGAUAAAAGGUACUCCGGGGAUAACAGGCUGAUACCGCCCAAGAGUUCAUAUCGACGGCGGUGUUUGGCACCUCGAUGUCGGCUCAUCACAUCCUGGGGCUGAAGUAGGUCCCAAGGGUAUGGCUGUUCGCCAUUUAAAGUGGUACGCGAGCUGGGUUUAGAACGUCGUGAGACAGUUCGGUCCCUAUCUGCCGUGGGCGCUGGAGAACUGAGGGGGGCUGCUCCUAGUACGAGAGGACCGGAGUGGACGCAUCACUGGUGUUCGGGUUGUCAUGCCAAUGGCACUGCCCGGUAGCUAAAUGCGGAAGAGAUAAGUGCUGAAAGCAUCUAAGCACGAAACUUGCCCCGAGAUGAGUUCUCCCUGACCCUUUAAGGGUCCUGAAGGAACGUUGAAGACGACGACGUUGAUAGGCCGGGUGUGUAAGCGCAGCGAUGCGUUGAGCUAACCGGUACUAAUGAACCGUGAGGCUUAACCUU